rnacentral:rRNA from 1 species
GACGAACGCUGGCGGCGUGCUUAACACAUGCAAGUCGAACGGAAAGGCCCUGCUUUUGUGGGGUGCUAGAGUGGCGAACGGGUGAGAAACACGUGAGUACCCUGCCCCUGAUUUUGGGAAACCUUCAGGAAACUGGGGCUAAUACCGGAUAGGAGCUCCUGCUGCAUGGUGGGGGUUGGAUAGUUUCGGCGGGUGGGGUGGGACUCGCGGGUUACUAGCUUGUUGGUGGGGUAGUGGCUUACCAGGGCUUUGGUGGGUGGCCGGCCUGGGGGGGUGGCCGGCCACAUGGGGCCUGGGUUACGGCCCAGAUCCCUAGGGGGGGCGGCGGGGGGGAAUAUGGCACAAUGGGCGGAAGCCGGUGGCGGCAACGCGGGGUGCGGGUGGACGGCCUUCGGUUGUAAACCCGCUUCCGCCGGUGACGAGGCGUGAGUGACGGUACCGAGUAAAGAAGCACCGGCUAACUACGUG